CGAGCAGUAGCUCAGUGGCAGAGUCCCGCUUCGUACGUGGGAAGACCUGGGUUCGAUUCCCGGCUGCUUAC
rnacentral:tRNA from 1 species